AACCUGGCGACGAACGGCUGGUGGCGGUAGUCCACCCUGUGCUUGCCGUUGUCGGUGGCCCAGGACGACGCGUCCCAGAUCGUCCCGUACACCCACAUCGGCCGCAGCGGGAACGUGUCGUCGCUCUUCCUCGGGUACCGCCGUAUCGGUAUGUCGUCGACGAAGAAUCUGCAUGCACGGAGAGUUGGAGAGAGACGUAGUUUCAUGAUUCAAGCUUGCAACCUCUCUGCAUGAAGUCUUACAUGAUCUCAUUUGGGUUCCACAGGAUAGCGUAGUGGUGGAAGUCAGCAGCAGGGUCAAACCACAGGUGGAACUUCAUCUCCCUCCCGAUGACCCGGCCGUCGCCGCUCCCCUUGACGUACACAUUCGUCUGCAACUUGUAUGGCCUCCCCGGAGUAGUCCCCAGGAACUCGA
rnacentral:lncRNA from 1 species